rnacentral:lncRNA from 1 species
CCAUGUUGCAUUCUGUGGUUAAUAAAUUUAAAACCCCAAACUUCCUCUUACCUAUUCCAAUUUUCAUGAACUUGGAAAAUGACCUAGUUGAGUAGAACCCAAGAGUAAUGCAGCAACACUUUGUGAAAUGUUUACUUAGGACACCGAUGGGAGGAUGUGGUGGUGAUGGAGGCAGAGCUGUGAAGAACUGAGAGGCUAUUAGAAAACCGCGGUGGAACAGUGGCUGGGGAAAAGGAUUGUAUUUGCUGGGGCUGCUAUUAAAAAGUACCGUGAACUGAGUGGCUUAAACACCAGAAAUUAUUCUCUCACAGUUCUGGAGGACUAAAGUCCAAAAUCAAGCUGUGGGCAGGGUGGGUUUCCCUGAGAGCUGCAAGUGAAGGAUCUGUUCCAGGCCUCUCUCCUUGGCUGACAGAGUCUCACACUGUCGCCCAGGCUGGAGUGCAAUGGCACAAUCUCGGCUCACUACAACCUCUGCCUCCCAGGUUCAAGCGAUUCUCCUGCCUCAGCCUCCCAUCUUCAAAUAUUUUUGUACCCUUAUCUUAUUUUUUCAGGAACUCCAGUUUCACAAAUAUUAGCCCAAGUGAAAUUGGCCCACAGAUCACUGAUCCUCUGUUCAUUAAAAAAAAAAUAAAA